GCAACACCCGCCAAGAAGGACCUGAGGCAUGUUACCUGUUACAAGUGCGGGAAGACUGGGCAUUACGCCAACGAAUGUUCUGAGUUGAAGAAUGGCAAUGGAAAUGGAAACUCUGGGAAGAAGCCCAAUCCGUUCACCAGAAGUCAGGUGAACCAGAUCAAUGUGGAGGAGGUUGAAGAUCAACCUGACGAAGUGAUCGGUAAGUUUUUGAUUAAGUCAUUUACCACACUCAUUCUUUUCGAUACUGGUGCAUCGCAUUCAUACAUAUCAAGGGGAUUUGUGGACAAGUUUGCUACCUCUUGA
rnacentral:rRNA from 1 species